rnacentral:hammerhead_ribozyme from 1 species
GUUCAACUGAUGAGUCUAAAAUAGGACGAAAUAUUCUUCCUGGAU